rnacentral:rRNA from 1 species
GAACACGCUACGAAGAGCAAGUGGUGGAUGCCUUGGCAUCGAGAGGCGACGAAGGACGUGAUUAACUGCGAUAAGCCACGGGGAGCUGUACGUAAGCGUCAAUCCGUGGAUCUCCGAAUCGGGCAACCGAACGGCCCAAUCAGCCGUUGCAAAGCGCGAACGCAGGGAACUGAAACAUCUAAGUACCUGCAGGAAUAGAAAUCAACCGAGAUUCCCUCAGUAGCGGCGAGCGAACGGGGAACAGCCCAAACCCACCAGUGUGUAAGCGGCAGGCGUUGCCUGGUAGGGGGUUGCGGGAAGGAGUCGGGUAAUCUGCAUGAGCCCGGGAAGUUAGAAAAAACAGCGCGGUAGCAGAACAUAUUGGAAAAGUGGCCAGAGCGGGUGAUAGCCCCGUAUGCGACACUGCGCUGUCUUCCAUUCCUAUCCCAAGUACGGCGGGACACGUGAAACCCUGUCGGAAUCCGGGGGGCCCACCCUCCAAGGCUAAAUACUACUCGAUGACCGAUAGUGAACCAGUACCGUGAGGGAAAGGCGAAAAGAACCCCGACAA